rnacentral:rRNA from 1 species
AUUGAACGCUGGCGGCAUGCCUUACACAUGCAAGUCGAACGGCAGCACGGGUGCUUGCACCUGGUGGCGAGUGGCGAACGGGUGGGUAAUACAUCGGAACAUGUCCUGUAGUGGGGGAUAGCCCGGCGAAAGCCGGAUUAAUACCGCAUACGAUCCACGGAUGAAAGCGGGGGACCUUCGGGCCUCGCGCUAUAGGGUUGGCCGAUGGCUGAUUAGCUAGUUGGUGGGGUAAAGGCCUACCAAGGCGACGAUCAGUAGCUGGUCUGAGGGGACGACCAGCCACACUGGGACUGAGACACGGCCCAGACUCCUACGGGAGGCAGCAGUGGGGAAUUUUGGACAAUGGGCGAAAGCCUGAUCCAGCAAUGCCGCGUGUGUGAAGAAGGCCUUCGGGUUGUAAAGCACUUUUGUCCGGAAAGAAAUCCUUGACUCUAAUACAGUCGGGGGAUGACGGUACCGGAAGAAUAAGCACCGGCUAACUACGUG